AGCUGGCUGGUUCCAUGAGGUGACUUCUGCCCAGUGCUCUGAUUGUCAAUGCGAAGAGAUUCAGCCAAGCGCGGGUAAACGGCGGGAGUAACUAUGACUCUCUUAAGGUAGCCAAAUGCCUCGUCAACCAAUUAUUGACGCGCAUGAAUGGAUCAACGAGAUUCCUGCUGUCCCUAGUUGCUGUCUGGUGAACCAACAGCCAAGGGAACGGGCUUGGAUGUGUCAGCGGGGAAAGAAGACCCUGUUGAGUUUGACUCUAGUUUGAUGCUGUGCAACGACAUGUUGGGUGUAGCAUAGGUGGGAGGCAAGUGCCAUUGGCCACAGAGUUGGAGUGACCCAGUGCCUUGGUGCAAGCCAGCAGUGAAAUACCACUACCUUCACCGUCGUAGUGCUCAUUGAGUGACCUGGGACCGGCAGCCCUUAGACAUCAGCCUUUCCCUUGCGGAAGGGCUGUGGCCCAUCCCCGCUUCGUGCGCAAAGUGUGGCACUCUGUGCCAUGCAACCCUGGAUACUGCAGUCCAAUCAGAAGCCUCAAGACACUGAUCAGUUGGGGAGUUUGGCUGGGGCGGCACGCCUGUUACACCACAACGCAGGCGUCCUGAAGCAAUGCUCAGAUGGAACAGAAAUCUCCCAUAGAGGAGCAGGCCAAAGGUGCUGCUGAUGCUGCUGCUCUCAGUGUGAGCACAAAACGUGCAAGCGUGGCCUUGCGAUCCUUUGGUUAAGUGCACGAGUUCAGGAUACUGAAGCCAGAGGUGUCAGAAAAAUUACCACAGGGAUAACUGGCUUGUGGCAGCCAAGCGUUCAAAGCGACGUUGCUUUUUGAUCCUUCGAUGUCGGCUCUUCCUAGCUUCCCACUCGCAGCCGGGUGGAAGAGUUGGAUUGUUCACCCACCAACAGGGAACGUGAGCUGG
rnacentral:rRNA from 1 species